GAUGAACGCUAGCGGCAGGCUUAACACAUGCAAGUCGAGGGGUAUAGUUCUUCGGAAUUAGAGACCGGCGCACGGGUGCGUAACGCGUAUGCAAUCUACCUUUCACAGAGGGAUAGCCCCAGAGAAAUUUGGAUUAAUACCUCAUAGUAUAGCAGUUUCGCAUGAAACCACUAUUAAAGUCACAACGGUGAAAGAUGAGCAUGCGUCCCAUUAGCUAGUUGGUAAGGUAACGGCUUACCAAGGCUACGAUGGGUAGGGGUCCUGAGAGGGAGAUCCCCCACACUGGUACUGAGACACGGACCAGACUCCUACGGGAGGCAGCAGUGAGGAAUAUUGGACAAUGGGCGCAAGCCUGAUCCAGCCAUGCCGCGUGCAGGAAGAAGGUCCUAUGGAUUGUAAACUGCUUUAUACAAGAAGAAACACUACCCUCGUGAGGGAACUUGACGG
rnacentral:rRNA from 1 species